CUUGGAUUCAGUCAACCAGCUGAACUUCUGUUCUUUACGAUCUGCUGAUGGAUUUAUCAUGAUGUUGAUUAAACUUGGAGCAUCCCCUAACUAGAAUUGAAUGGAAGGGCGCAUAAUUUAUUAAAUACCUCGAGUGAUACUUUUAUGGCUUUUUCAAUCUGCUCAACGGUCUCACAAUAAUGUCCUCGAUGCCCAAACAUUUCCAUCAUUUUUUCAUAUCGAGUUCCAGCGGUUAACAACUGAGGAGAUAUUCUGGAAGAAUUUAAUACGUUGGAGAAGUUAUCAAUUGUUGAAAUAUAUCUGCUAGUCAAUUCUAGUUUUUGAAAUUUUUCAACAAAAUAAAUUCAUAUAAUUAUCUAUUUUAACUACAUUAAUUACAAAACUUACACUUUGGUCGGCUCUGCAGCAGUUUGAAUUUGUUUGAAUGUCUCUUUGUCUGUUCCACCAUAUAUUCCAUUGUUAUUAAAAAUAAUAAUAACGAUAGGUAAUUUAUAUCUGUUGGAUAAAAAUAAUUACAAUUUUAUGUAAUCAAUAUAAUGAGUAUAAGGCAAUAAUAAUAAUACCCUGGAGGACCAUUCAAUGAAUUCAAUGAUAAUAACAGUUUUGAAGAAUAAUUUUACCUGAACAUUGUUUCAAUUUCCAUUGCCGAGAAACCAAAAGCUGAAUCACCUUCCACGCAAAUAACUUUUUUCUUAGGAUCCACAUCUUUACAAUACAAAGCUGCAGCAAUGGCAAAUCCCAAUCCAACGCCCAUAGUCCCAAAAGUUCCUGCGUCCAAUCUGUGACGUGGUUUGGCAUUUAAAAGCAUAGUUCUACCAAUAUCCAUGGUAUUGGCUCCCUCAGAGCAAAUGAUGCUGUCUAAAUAAAAAUAAAUACACAAUUAAACACACGAAUAUUGUUGUUAGCUGUUACUUCAACCUCGGUCAUGAGAAGACCCCAAUGAUUUUCUUGAAGUGUUAUUCAAUGAAUUCGAAACAUUUAUUCAGUUAUCAUGGAAAAACUGAUUUCAGUAUUAAUUUAUUCAUUUACGAGCAAAUUAUUGUUAUUAGUGAAGGAUAUUUUAUUUCUAAAAUAAAAGAUUUCAUCUCAAAUAAAAGUUCGAUCAACAAAAAUUUGUCAAUAAUUCCGUACCUGUUGGAAUGGAUUGUUGAAUGGUUUUAAAUGCAGGGUAAUAAUUCAAAGGGACAGAAGUAUCAGCUGACAUCCUCUGGAAUAAAAAAUAAUCCAAGUAAAUAAAUACAUAAUGAUCAAUAUCGAUUUUUCGUGGAACAGUGGAUAGUAUUGAAUUACCUGAACUCCUUGUUUAUUCUUUUGUCCAUCAGCAAUUAAUUGUAUCCACCAUUUGUUUUUCUUAUCGAUACUGUACUGUCUUUUUUUGAGACACUCUGUUAACAAUGCCACGCUGGGAAUUAAAUCCGCUUGAAUAGCAAUUGCUGAUGAGACUGAAUUGUGCAACUCCUCUGGACAAAUAUCGAU